UUCACGUUGCUGUGUAGCAGAAACCAACACAAAAUUGUGAAGCAAUUUUUCACCAAUUGAAAAAUAAAAGCUAAAAAAAUAGGAAGUCUUGGGCAAGGGAGCCUGGGAAAAAUAGUUAUAGAUUUAUACCUUAGCUUCAACCUUAGCUUUGUAAACCUAAGCUUCUAGCUUAGAUUUAGAUGGAGAAGGAUAGAUGCAGGGUUGAGAGAGAGGAGGUAACUAGCCUGUUUCAUUAAAUUCACUAGAUUUUUUCUGGUGAUCAAGGAGAUUCAGAAGCUUACUUGAAGACCUUUAUACCAGCAAGUUGUAGACCUAACUAUUCAAGCUCAGGCUUGCCAACUCAGAGUGUAAUGUAUACUCCCAGGGCCACACUCCAUCUCUCUCUUAGUGUGCUCACCUUCCCAGUGGGGCUCCAGGGUCAGGUGGUAAGAAUGUUCAUCUCUACUUGUCUUUAAGGGCAUAAUAAGGAUUAAAUUAGAUUACACACCUAAAAAAGCCCUUGUUAGUCACCAAUACAACCCACAAAUGAAAACCAGUAUUGUUAUUUGUAAAUAAUUUUUGCAGAAAUAUCUAUAAACAGAAGUCCAAGAUUAAAGUGAGAUUUUUAUUACCAACCUUUUCAAGUCGAGCCUCAACAAAGGUCCUCUUGCUACCCCCGCCCCGCCAACCCCACCUCCUGUUGUUUGAGCCAAUAGAGCAAGGGCAGGUCUGGUUCCGAAACAGAGGAAGGUUUUUUGCUUUGUGCAGAGGAUGGAGAGGUGGGAGUUCCCACUCUGGAGCAAAUGCUCUUCCCGCAGGGCUGCGGUGGGGUGGGGACAUGGCUGCUGUAAGGAUAACUUCAGAAUGUGUGAGAGGGGGCAGGGUUCCCCCCGAGCUGGCGCAGCUGUAGCUACGCAGGCUCCAGACAGCAGUGCGGGAGCAGCGUCUCUGCGCACGGCCCACUGCUGCUGGCGGGAGCAGCGUCUCUGCACACGGCCCACUGCUGCUGGCGCCACCUUGGAUCCGGGCGUCCUGGUAGCUCACCAAGCUGACGAGUUCUGGAGUGCUGGGUGUGAGGCUUCUGCAUGUGACCCCACUAUGAGCAAGUCGAAGUAGUUGAAGCACAAACGAUAAAGAGCACAUAGGCUAAUAAGAGGAACAGAUGGAUAUUUAUGAGAUGUUAUGUGGCCAGUGAGAAGAGAUCCUGCAAUAGCCAACUUUCCCUUGGCCCCCAUCUCCACUCCAUGAGGUCUCGAAGACAUAGAUACAAAGGCCAGAGAAGUUUGCUGACCCUUGCAAUGAAGAAUGGUUUUGGUGACACUCUGCUCCCCUGACUAGAUAUCUGGUGCUGAGAUGAGGUACCUGUUCAAAGCCAACAAGCACAGGUGGGCUAAUCACUCCUGAAGAUUAUUGGCACGCUACUGAAUGUGAUGGGACUGGAUCUUGGUCCAAAACAGACCCACACUUGGAGGUAUUCAAGUCUAAGGUGAUCUCAGAAGCUGUAUAUUGAAGAUGGCAGAGUCUCUGUGAGCCCCAGUCCUGGAAGUCACACAUUUCAGAGAACUUCAGGCAAGAAUGGUGAUGAAUGUAGCUUGGGACAAAGAUGCCUUCACUUUGAUUCCAAGGCCUGCUGACUGUUGAAAAGAAGGGAGACCUCCACAUGGAAAAAGGGGCCUUCCAACUGUAAGUGCAGAAACAUUCUUUGAUUUCACAGAAUGUGUGGAAACAGAAGGUCAGCCUGACAAUCUCUGAAUAUUGAAAGUUUGCUGUGGCCACAGCAAGACAGGAAGGCUGUAUUGCAGAUGUGGAUUUGCACUGUAUACAUGUGUAUCAACAUGCUGAUGGGUCCACAUUCCAGCUGAAAUGCUAAAGCCAAUAUCUACCACUGGCACUUCUAGAUUAACUGCCAAGAGCCAUUGCCGUUAACACCUACCCCCAAAUGCCCAGUAGGUUAUGUCUUUCCCAGAAGAACUGAACUCAAAGCACAAUUUCCAAGAAUGCUAUUACCAAAGGAAUGGGGACUUUUAACCAACUAUAAACUGUAGAGGUGUGGAACCUGAGAGACUCAAGAAUUUGAGUGUUUGUGAAGUAUUGUAAACAGUUCAGUGACUCAGUCGUGUCCAAAUCUUUGAGACCCCAUGGACUGCAGCACGCCAGGCCUCCCUGUCCAUCACCAUCUCCUGGGAACCCAAAAUAUGACACCCAGCAACCUGACAUGUUACAUGGAGGAAAAGAUGGAGAGGCAGAGGCCAAUACAAUAUUGUAAAGCAAUUAUCCUCCAGUAAGCAAAAGAAGAUGCAGAGGUUGGUAUUCUUAACAUAAAAGGCAAGCUAUGCCUAACAGAAGAGAGAAGCUGAACAUAAAAAGAAGUCCCUAAAACUUCUAAUUGAGAGCUUUAAAGUACUAGAUCAGCCUUGGGUAGAGAGGACUUGUAUUACCUUUUAGCUACCACCUCCAUGUACUUGAAAGACUAGCCCUGGUCCCAACCAAAAAGUAGAAGUGACUAUCACAUAUUAAAAAUGGAUGGGAAAGGUCUUAGAUUUCCCUGUACUGUUGGCACAGUCCCAGAUAAAAUGCCUUCCAAAAAUGUGAAACCAAGCCUCUUUGAUCACAAAGCCUCAAGGUGCUGGAGGCAGAUAAAAUGUCAAUAUGAAUGAUGGGUUUAUACUUAUAUAAAAUGGCAAAUAAAAAGGAGACAUCAUUAAUUCAUUAAACAAUUUUUAUCUUAUAUUGGUCUUCUAAGACUUUCCGAAAAAAGAGAAAACACUUUUAAACUCAAUUCCCCAUUACAGAGGUGAACAUAUCUCCCCCAAACCAAAGUGUAGGUGGAGUCUCUGAAGCCUGCUCUUCCUGCACAGACCCCCGUAACUCCUUGUUUACCUGGACUGUGACAGUGCGUCCAAAACCCAGAUGACCCAAGAUGACCUAGACAGCUAUCCCGACGAAUAAAACUUUUGUGGAAUGCCA